GGCUCGUCGCGCGCCCACGAAUGAGGGGCGUGAGGAAAGUCCGGGCAACACAGGGCACCAUACCGGCUAACGACCGGCAGUCGGCAACGGCUGAGCAGCGUGACAGAAAAAAACCGCCCCCGGUGCGGCUUCGUGACGAAGCUGACGCCGGGGGUAAGGGUGAAAAGGUGGUGUAAGAGACCACCGGCUGCGUCGGCAACGGCGCAGGCCGCACGUCUUAUGGGUUGCAAGGUCAAGUAUACCGGCAUUUAAGGGCGGCCCGUCCAUUGCCGGGGGGUAGACUGCUACAUGGCGGCGGUAACGUCGUCGGCAGAUAAAUGACGAGCAGUGCGCGCCGGCUCUGCGGACCCCGGAUGCCCCGCAUCCCCCGCAGAAAGCAGCCGCACCACAUAACCCGGCUUACAUCCGGUCCC
rnacentral:RNase_P_RNA from 1 species